AGUAAUCUUGCCCAUCUUGUUAUCCUGUAGGCGGUCAAGCCUGUCCCGAUACAAAGUGGUGCCAUGAGGAGUGACUACCCAAGGGAGACAGCCUCAGAGGUCACAGAAGCUGAAAGGCCGGAUGAAAGCUCUCAGGAUUUCCAGGUUUCAUAAGACACUUUCUCAAGCAUUGGGGAAUCCGGCUCCCGGGACAAGCUCACUGGUCACUGGCUCCACUUGGAAUUGAAAGAACCCGAUGCUUGAAGUGUAAGUGGGGUCACUGUAAAGAAGAAACACAGGGGGCUGGGGAUUAUAGCUCAG
rnacentral:lncRNA from 1 species